GGGUCAAUGAUGAGAAACCAUAACUUGAAGAGAGAUGAUGACUAAAAAAUCAAACUCUUGCAGGAUUUAUCUGAGGCCC